rnacentral:rRNA from 1 species
CAGUAGCCACGGGAAUACGGAGGGGGCUAGCGUUGUUCGGAAUUACUGGGCGUAAAGCGCACGUAGGCGGCUUGGUAAGUUAGAGGUGAAAGCCCGGAGCUCAACUCCGGAAUUGCCUUUAAGACUGCCGAGCUAGCAGGUGAGAGAGGUAAGUGGAAUUCCGAGUGUAGAGGUGAAAUUCGUAGAUAUUCGGAAGAACACCAGUGGCGAAGGCGGCUUACUGGCUCAUACUGGACGCUGAGGUGCGAAAGCGUGGGGAGCAAACAGGAUUAGAUACCCGAGUAGUCCCUGUCUCUUAUAC